CAAGAACUUGGCGUAUCUCCAAGCAGCGAAGCAUCUCAAUGCUCGGCAAGCCAGGUCUGUUUUUUACCUGUUUCAAUCUCAUUAUUACAUACAUGCCUGGGUCCCACAACACCAAAGCAGACGCACUGUCACGCCAGUUCGCACCGGAUCCCGAUGAUGAGGGAAUCAGCCCAUCCUCCCGCCUUCGUGUUUUGUUGGAGCUUUAAUGUGGGAGAUAAAGAAGCUCAUAAGGGAGCAGGAACCCGACCCAGGAACAGGCCCAGAGGGCAAGCUGUUUGUCCCUGCAUCAGAGUAGGGUGCUCCAGUGGGCCUACACCGCACAUUUCGGCUGUCAUCUGAAUAAGGCACCGAAUUCGCCUCCUGCUGGCCUCCUGCAACCACUCCCCAUGCCCAAGUGACCCUGGUCGCACAUUGCACUGGACUUUGUCACCGGACUGCCCCCGUCAUCAGGUGAGACCAGUCCGGACCAGCCCGUUGUGCCUGCCCCCUGGGUCCCCACCAUCUCUGACAAGUUUGGAACAAAGAAGGAGAAGGAUUAUGAGCAUGGGGAAAGAGGGAGGGAGGAACGGAGAUUCACUGUCACGCACCACUUGAGCACGGGGAAGAGGACACCAAUGCUCACUUGCACAUUGAACAAUUGUAACCUUUAUCACUGUAAAUAAACGCACUGUUGUUCAUUCAG
ensembl:lncRNA